ensembl:lncRNA
AUGCUCAAAAGCCUUCUGGUGACCAACAUGCCUGUCUCCCUGCCUGCAGGCUGUGGAAGUCCCAUAAUGUGUGGCAGCAGAUGGACGAAACUGAUACUGUGGCUGCUAGACAAGAUAAACUUCCAGGUCGUAGAAGGAUGUUGCUCCUGCAUCGGCAUCUGGAGAGAAGGGAACAAGAAGACCACAUGUUGGCAACUUUUGCAGAAACCAAAGCCCUUGGUUCAAGCACUGCUCAUCAGGAAUGCUCCUGCACGCUGCUUUCUCCUGAAGAUGACACAAUGUCUUGAUACACAGCUAAAAGAUUUUUGACCACUGCUGACCAAAAUGUGCAUCGCCCUCCUGUUUGAUAGAGCUGCUUCCCAAGCAUGAUUUUCCUUAGUGGUCCAGCCUGCCAGUGGGAUGGGCACCACUGCUCCACCCCAGCCCAUCAGGGCUGUGUCAGAUGGAGAGGAGGCCUGGCAGGCAAUCUGAAGAAGGGCUAUUGAUCAGAGCAGCUUUGCUGCUUUUUCGUCUGCUUAAUGACAGGGCCUUUGCUCACUCAUAGGUAGUUCAGAGAGAUGCAUUUUUGGCUGAUUCAUCUUAAUUAGCGUAGAGAGGGAAGUGGGUGUGCUAAAACUCCUCAGUGAUGAGCAUUUGCUGUUGAACUAUUUCUUAUGCCUUGCAUCUGUUACCUGGUGAGCUAUCAGAUUAGGAGAAAACAAAACAGCUGUAGUCUGGCAGACAUGUGAAAGGUGGGAAACCCCUGAGGGGAUGUGAGGAAGAGAAUUAUGAAGGGUUUCCAGAGAGGGUUUUUUUGUUUUCUUCCCUUUUCUUCCCUUGAAGCCUGAUACUGCAAAACAGAAAAAAAUUGAGGAAAAAAUAGAACAGAAAGGGGAAUAUUUUUGCCAGGAUGGAUUCUGAGAGGAAAUGGCUAGAGCAAUAUUUAAGUGAGACUAUCACUGCUGCACUGCAGUCCUUCUGUCUUGGAAAACAACUAAAGGAGGUAUCCAGUUUAGCAGGAGGCUGUGGUUUGACACAAGUAAAAUACAUGCUUAAGAAGCUCCCUUCGUUUUCACAGUUACACUCUGCAUCCAUCAAUAGUCAGCCAAAUUUGAAUUGCUGUAAGGUAAGCUCAAAUUGGACAGAGGUUAGCACUAGCUAGGUUUUUGCACACGCAGUACUGUUAAUGCCAAUGAGACUGAUUGCAAAGGAAAGCAAAUGAUUAAUGUACAAGAAGUUGGAGCUCUCUGAUAAAGUGAGGGAUGGUCUAUUAAGAGGAAGAGAAAAGGCUUACAACACAAGGAUAAAACUCGAGGAUAUCAGCUUUGCGUGCCAUGACAGAGACCUCCUGGUACUGGCUGAGGGCAGCUGUGGGAGUGGGACCGACUACAAGACCAAAGUCCUUCUCCAUUGUGAGUAGGUCACAUGCAGCUUAGUUCUUCCUCAGGCUUUUUUUUUUUUUUUUUUUUUGGUCCUAACUGGUGUUUUUGGCUGGCUGAGCACAAUAUGUUAUUCAAAAUAACAGGAAAGACUCAUCAAGGUCUCAGUCCAACCGAACCCAACCCAAGCUCUGAGAAUAGAUUCUCCAGAACUUAAUUCUGAGACUCUUCGAAGUGGAGCAUGAGGGAUUCCAAUAAAAUGCUUAAUUAAGAUUCUUAAUUCA